AGAAUCAACGCUGGCGGCGUGCCUCAGACAUGCAAGUCGAACGCGAAAGUUCCCUUCGGGGAGCGAGUAGAGUGGCGCACGGGUGAGUAACACGUAGGUAAUCUACCUUUGGGUGGGAAUAACAGCCGGAAACGGCUGCUAAUACCGCAUAAUGCAGCGGCUCGACAUCGAGACAGUUGUUAAAGCGGGGGAUCGCAAGACCUCGCGCCUAAAGAGGAGCCUGCGGCGGAUUAGCUUGUUGGUGAGGUAAUGGCUCACCAAGGCUUCGAUCCGUAGCCGGCCUGAGAGGGCGUCGGCCACACUGACACUGACAGUACGGGUCACGACUCCGUAGGGACGCAGUCGAGUACGGGAAUUUUGGGACAAGUGGGCGACGAAGCCGU
rnacentral:rRNA from 1 species